rnacentral:rRNA from 1 species
UACAGAGGUGGCAAGCGUUGUUCGGAAUUACUGGGCGUAAAGGGCGCGUAGGCGGCCUUCUAAGUCAGACGUGAAAUCCCCCGGCUUAACCUGGGAACUGCGUCUGAUACUGGGAGGCUCGAGUGCGGGAGAGGGAUGCGGAAUUCCCGGUGUAGUGGUGAAAUGCGUAGAUAUCGGGAGGAACACCAGUGGCGAAGGCGACUUCCUGGCCUGUUCUUGACGCUGAGGCGCGAAAGCUAGGGGAGCAAACGGG